AAUAAAAUGAAAUAAAAUCUUACCAAUCCCAGACUUUUGUUUAAAUUGGUUCAUAACUAUCCUGAGUGUGUUGACUAGGUGUGAAUGCUGUAUGUAAUAAAAGCACUCUGAGAAUGUGUGAUUAUAUUAAGGUAUUGAAGGAGCUCAAUCACUAUAUGUCUGACGGUUUAACAACAGCAAAAAAAAUCAAAAUUCAAGAUGGAGAAGGUAAAGAGACUGAAAAAAAUUGCAAGAAUGUUGGACUCUGAUAAAUGACCCGGUGUGAGAAAGUGUGAAAGGGUGAGAGCGGGACAGCUGAGGGGAAGCGGCAGACAUGCAGCUUCAAAUGUGCCAAAAUGUCACUGCUAUUAAUACACCUCAGCAACUGCUCUCCAAUCAACAGUGUGUGUGUACAUCAGGAAGUGUGAGCAAAAUGAUGGCUUCAGGUUCCUCCCACCUAAAAAGCUUGGCAUCUGCCCCAGUUAUCUUACUGAGCUGCAUUUCUGUUGAUUUUUUAGUUGAGAGGACAGAGGAAUGGUCAUACAGACCAUGUCUGACUCCAGCAGGCUUACUGAGGUGUCUACACCAGCAGACAAAGAGUUUGGAGAGGAGCCUGAUCUCCAGCCAAGAGCUCUGGAGGAACCUCAGGCGGCGGGUUCAGAAGACACUGGAAUAUCAGACGUCAUGUUGAGGGCUGAGGAAUAUCAAACGUAUGACUUUACAAGAUUAGAAGACAACAACAUCCAGUCAUGCAUCAGCAACAGGUCAGGUGUGUCAUUCCCUUCAAGCGAGAGAGAGAAAACAUCUACAGCUUGCUGCCUCAGAAAACGUCACAGGAAACACCAAACAGAGAUUAAAGACACGAGGAAAAUGAGGGGGACGUGUAGAAAAGACAGAGCAAGAACCAGAAGAAAUGCUCCAUUACUUUCUGACCAGAAGACCAGCGGCUCCUCAAGAUGCUCCAAACCAAGCACUGAAGAUCAAGACAAGUUCUCCUCGACACCAGAGCAAUUGUCCCGGCCUCAGCAGGUCACUCCAGAUCUCCAUCUGUGGGAUUGUCCUCAAGAUGUUUCCCAUCUAUGCCUUCAAAAGCUGGAGGUCGACUUCCCUUCGACCUUUGAGUCUCGCAGUUUGAGAUCUGACGGUGUGGAACCAAACUUUGACUCUGAGUUUGCAUAUAUCUAUGCUGAGAGCAUCAAAGGAUGUGACUCUACUUGUUGCACGAAUCCAGGAGAAUGUAAUACCCACAAUCCUCCUGUCAAAACUGAUACAAGCACUGAAAGAGACCUUGAAUCUGUCUGGAACAGCUGUGAGGAAGAAUCUGAAGACUCAGAUUGUGAUUUAUAUAUGUUUGCUUGCAGUAUAGCAGCUACUGCAGGUUCCAGGUUGAACGCUGACCGCUUUGGCUCUUUACUAGAUGAUUUUGACUCGACUUGUAUUUAUACAGACUGGGAAAGGAGACCCGGCAGUAAUGAAACCGACCAGGGUUACAGUCCAGCUGAAGCGGAGUGGAGCUCUGACAGUUCAUGUUACACUGCCGACUGUGACUCUUACUGUACCACAGACAGACAAACCAGCAGCUCGGAUUCAGACGGCUGCCGUUUAGAGGCUCUCAGUGACAUAAAAUGUCCUGAAGUGUUUUUGCCAGGAUCUGAAGGUUGCUGUGAUGCAGCUGAAGCCGUCUGCAGAGACACAGUGAGCGAUCCCGAGUCUUUUUGCUCCAGACGGGAUACAGGUGAACUGUGCGGUGUCGUGACUCAAAUGGACCGACAGCAUUUCUCUGAAUUUUUCUGUGAGAUGAUUAAAGAAGUGACGCAGGAGAAAGACACGGAGAAAAAUGAAUGUAAACGAGGGGUUUCUGUUCCACCCUAAGAAGGUGUGUGACUAAAGUCAUUUAUGCAGAUUGACAACAAACAAGAAAUAUAUGUAUAUGUAUAUAUAUAUUAAUAUGUGUAAAUAAAGUGGGCAAAAUAAUAAGAUAUUGCCUGAUAUUGGAUAUUUAAUUGUUCAUGCUAAUUUACCAUAUUUUUACAUUUAGAUAACCUUUGCCAUAUGAUGUUUUAAAUGCUUAUUUUUAAUUUAGACAACCCAUACAGCAAAAAAACAUAUUUUCAAAUAUGUUUAAAUGUUUCAAACUAUGCAAAAAAUAUAGUGCUAAUAUACUGCCCUUGAUGGACUCAUGUU
rnacentral:lncRNA from 1 species